rnacentral:lncRNA from 1 species
CUUGCUUUGGUAAAUGUAUGAACAGAGUAUCCAGGAUGUUCUGGUCUACAAUGCUGAGACUGUGGUAACAGCCUAACUCACCACUUGGAGAGGAAUGAUGGUUUAAGAAUAUUGUUUGUAUUUCUCCAUUUCUUGGAAAGUCCAUAAUGAGACCUGGAAUACAGAAGCACAGCAUGUGAAUAAAGUAAAUCAGAUAGGAAAACUCCCACUUACCUCUCUUGUAAAAUGGAUUAUCAAAAGAGUGUGAAAACUUUCUUAGAAAACUUACAGAUUAAAAAAUUUGUAGAAUGGAGUGAAAUACUGACCCAUAGUCCUGCUUUUAACCUUGAACAGAAAAUAAAGAAACCGUCAGCUUGGGAAAGCUUACAGAAAGAAAUGUUUCUUCUAAAAUAUUUCUAAACAGUCUGGACUUUGUAACCUUGUCUUGAUGAGAGUCUAUUCUUCCUCCAACAGAGGUCAGUUCUAUCGUGGCAAAGUAGUCCCUGGGUACUCGCUGAUCAUUAGUAGUAGUAAAGUCAGUGCAAAUGGAUACUCUUCAGGUGAACGAAAGAAUAAGAAAAUAAUACAUUUUAAUUCUAUGUCUGAAAGUUAUGUGUACAUGUAGAAGCCGUACGGAGAACAUCAGCGGUGGACACAUGCCAGGAAGAGCAUAGACUGAUUAUAAAGAAUUCAACACACACAUGCUUGCCAGUCUGUGUGGGUUCUCAGGUGUUUAAAAACUUAAUUUUCAUUCAAGGUGGUGGUGCUGCUGUUGGGAUUUGAGUUUAGUGAUUCAGCUUUUUAAAGCACAGCCCAUCUUUCACAUACUUCUUUCCUAGGAAGCUGCAAAAGGGAAACAGAGCAGUGGGGAGAAAGCUGUAAGAGAACAGGACCUAUGAUCUCCUUCACACUAUAUGAAACAUUGCCCUCAACAUUGCUUAUAAAAGGUUCCUGAGAAGCUUGAAGGAAUGCAACAAAUGUCUGGCAAAAUAUGCAGAGAUAUCUGCAAGAUUCAGGCCAAGCACUGAACCAUUCCUUCUUGCAGCAUUGCUGCCCUUUCUGUUAGUUUACUUGAUAUAGCCAUUAUUCUCUGGAGGGUCAAAGCAAUGUAAAGGCCAUUUAGUCUGCCUAUAAUGUAUGGGAAGCCCUGAGUAGGAAAUCUGCCACAUAGGUUUGUACAGCACCUCUCCCUCAGUUCCAGAAACUGUACAGCACAGUGUUACAGACCUGUGAAGUAUGCUUGAUCCUGUCUACCCCUCAUCCGCCACCAAUACGAGCGCUGCAGAUCCAUCCAAUUUGGAAACAUGAGUUCAAAAGCCUUUCCACUCUUUGUAUGCUGACUUCUAUGCAGCUGCUAAGCUUGUGCUUGAUAUGUUUAUGUUAAGGGUUUGGUGCAAGCAGGGCUUAUUUUGUAUAGCUGUCUGAAAACGUCCCACCCACCCCUUUUUAAAAAUGGGCAAAUGACC